rnacentral:rRNA from 1 species
GUGGGGAAUAUUGGACAAUGGGCGAAAGCCUGAUCCAGCCAUGCCGCGUGUGUGAAGAAGGUCUUCGGAUUGUAAAGCACUUUAAGUUGGGAGGAAGGGCAGUAAGUUAAUACCUUGCUGUUUUGACGUUACCGACAGAAUAAGCACCGGCUAACUUCGUGCCAGCAGCCGCGGUAAUACGAAGGGUGCAAGCGUUAAUCGGAAUUACUGGGCGUAAAGCGCGCGUAGGUGGUGUUGUAAGUUGGAGGUGGAAGCCCCGGGCUCAACCUGGGAACUGCCUCCAAAACUGCAUGACUAGAGUACGGUAGAGGGUAGUGGAAUUUCCUGUGUAGCGGUGAAAUGCGUAGAUAUAGGAAGGAACACCAGUGGCGAAGGCGACUACCUGGACUGAUACUGACACUGAGGUGCGAAAGCGUGGGGAGCAAACAGGAUUAGAUACCCGAGUAGUCC